AACUAACAGAGGAAAGGGUUGCUAACAGGAAAGCAGCUGGCCUUGGCUGGGCCAGAGAGGUUUAGCUGCUAUGCUAACAGAGACAGCAGCUGGCCUCGGCUGGGUCAGAGAGGUUUAGCUGCUAUGCUAACAGAGACAGCAGCUGGCCUCGGCUGGGUCAGAGAGGUUUAGCUGCUAUGCUAACAGAGACAGCAGCUGGCCUCGGCUGGGAUGGAGCAGUUUAGCAGAAAUUCUUUAUGUUAGAACAGAGA